AACACUGUUAACCUGCGGUACCUGCGGAAGGAUCAUUACCGAGUGUGGUCCCAUAAGGGGCGCCUCCCGUCCUUUGCAGGGCCUUUAGGGGCUUUUUGACUUUGCUUCGGCGGGCUUGCCCCGCCGGAACACCCUCAAGAAAAUCUUUAUGAACCGUUUGUCUGAGUUGCUUGCGAAUAAAAACAAAACUUUUAGCAACGGAUCU
rnacentral:misc_RNA from 1 species